UCUUUCCUCCCUUAAAAUCUCCUACUUCUGAAUGGGACACAUACCAUAACUAGUGGUUAAGGCUGUGGGUGCUGGUGCUGGACUUCCUGUGUUCAAAUUUCUGCUUUACCACCUACUGGCUUUGUGACUUUAGACCACUUACUUCAUCCCUCUCUGCCUCAGUUUCCUCUCUAACAUAGGGAUUAACUUCCUAGUUUAAUGAGAGAAUCCAGUGUGGUAGACAUGCAAAGUAUUUUUAAUUAUAUUGGGUGUUAUGAGGUCCUUGGUAAACAUGGGUUAUUAUGAUAUGCCUAGACCUACCCAACAUCUUCGAUGGCUAAGAUCAGGUUGCAUCUAUGAACUUGUGGUCCACCUAUAGAUCCAUGGGUGGAUUACCUCUCCAUGCAUAUAAUAUAAAUAUUCUUUCCAGGUUAAACAUGUUACAGAACUAAGAGACAUAGUUGUAGUACAUUUAGUUGGCAGACAGUUGAAAUGCCCUGCAUUUCACCAGAAUGUAUUUCGACACUGAUAACACAUGACCCUUAUCUGUCCAAUUUCCAGGCCAUAGACUGAGAUUUCAGAAUUUGUUUCAAACAAGUCAGAGACGUGGCUAUUUGUCAAGGCCUGGCUGACCAAUACCUGGAAAAGAUACCAAGAAGGAAAAGUGAUUUAAAACUUAAAGGACAGGACAUAAAACACACAUCUAACUGAUAAGAACAGAAACAAAAGGGUGUUUAAACUAAAGAUAAAAUGAAAUGUUAAGAGUUAUGGGCUUUAGCCACAUGAAGUCACGGAGCUUUAAUUCUUGAUGGGCAGCCUGACAAGAAAAUAAAUGAAGCUCCAGAAAUCUGGGCAUUCGGCUACAAAGGAUUUAGAACCAGAGUGUUCUAUUUCAGUACUGCAUUCCUGGUGGGGAGGAACCGUGAGGUCUUUGUGUUCACUUCUAGGGGUCAAAACAGAGCCCUUUGUGGAACCAUGAGCUAAGAAAGAUGGGACACUGGAGGUCACAUACUAUGGAGGAAAGUGCUUUUGAUCUUGUCCAGCUCUGGGUUUCAUGCUUUUCCAUGGUGACAUGGGUAAAGAUUCCUAAGCUCUCUAAGCCUCAGUUUCCUCAUCAAUAGGAUAGACAUUUUUAUUUUGGUGAUAAAGAUGAGAUGUGUAAAAGAGGGCCAAAUUAUCUACUGGAUACUGCAGGUAGAGUACCGACAACCUAUACAAUUUGUAAGGACCUUUUAAGAAGACUGAGAUAGAAACCAGUUUUUCUAUUUAAGCUAUAAGUUGAAAAACUAGAAAAUUGAAAUUGAGAUUGAUUUUUAAGACUAUAAUUAUAAAAGUCCUUUCAACCUUUUAAAUGACAAAGAUGAUAUAAAAUGAAAUAUGGGUGCAUUUUUAUAAACAUACAAUAAUGUGAUACCAUGUGGCAUAUCCAAAAUUAACAGUUUUAGGAAGAGCCCUGCAUCAUAGCGGGGUGUUUGGAACAUGUUAGGGGCUGAAUUAGUAUGAAUACUUUCCCUCUCUUAUCUUUGUCCUUAGACGUCUUUUGAAAUAUGGGAGGAGGUCCAAGGUCACAUAAUUUAAGUCAAGUGUUAUCCAGGUAGUCAAUAUGAUAUUGAGCAUGAAGUUAUCAAAUAAUAGAUUAUCUUUGUUUUUACUGUAUUUAAAUUUUACUCUAUGCAUGCUAUGCUCCAGGCAUGCUUCUGAGUCACAUUUAUUAAGACAUUCAGUUCUCAUAUAAAUUCAAUGAAAUGUAUAUACUUUCAUCCCACUUUUAUAAAAGAUGGAAAAAAAGAGCAAUGCUAGGCCAUUUGCCCAAGCCUAUAGAGAUGGAGCCAGACUCUGAAUACAAGGAUUUGGACCUUAGAGCUCAAUUUAUAACCGCUAAAUGGCACGUGGGGGACACAGGCUAGAUAUGUACCAGUACGGUGCUUUGGGGCAUGUACUUUUCAGUUUUGAAUUCAAGGAAAAAGUAAAUAUUCUGAUCAAAGAAGUUUAAAAAAUGUCUCCCCCAUUGCCACAAUAUGCAGGGUACUAGUCACAGAUGGGGUGUAAAAUCUUAUAAACAGGGAACCCAUGACUAGAGUUAGAAUAGUGUUUUCUAUUUGUUUUCAAAUAGAAGGAUACUCACUUAAACUUCUCAAACUUCAUAUAUUCUCCUGGCAUAGGGAUACUUUUAAUAAUGUCAUCUGAUAAGACAUGUACCAGGGUGGCAUCAAAUGGCACAUGUGUAUUAUUGAUUCAGUCUAUCAUGGACAAUGCUGGGAGCACAUAUAAAUCCUUGGACUUUUGUAAUCACUCUGUGCCCUCAUAGAAUGGAGUUAUGGAGAAAUAUUGAGGUACAACAUCACACAGUUAUUCCCAUGAAGUAGGUAAGGUAGCAUCUAGGAUUUCUUUGAGUAUAUUGGAAAAAAGCAAAACCUAUUUGCUUUUGUUAUUUUCUGAAACUAUUGCAAAAGAUUCAGAAGUAUAAAUGAAACAAGCACAUAAGCAAAAACUAUGUGCUUAAAAAUAACUCAAGAUUCCUGAAGGAAGAAAAAUGUAUACCUGUAGAGAUAGGAUUUAGGCUAUCUGAAAGAUGAAGAAACAUCACUGAACAUAUUAGAGACUCUUAACAGAUACUACAACUCCUUACCCAUUUCUUAAUGAGGCAUGAGCUACACACUGAUCUCAGAACUAACUGUAUAGUUUCUAAAUUUUAACAUAUUAAACUGAAAAAGAUUCCCAUUUCAAAUUGUGUAUAGAACAAUUCCCAACUAAUUUCUUUGCUGACUCACAUAGCCUGGAGUUAAAGAACUAAAACACUACUUUUUACGCAUAAAACUGUUUCUACCACUUUCCAUAAAUUCUACAUCUAGAAUGUAUAUGUAAAUUUAUUUGUCUAAGUAUAACAACAUUAUUUGUAAUAAGCAAUAUUUGGAAAUACCUGAAUGUUUAUCAAGGGAAGAUUAAUUAUGAAGUUAGAAUAUCCUUAUGAAGUAAUAUUAUGCUGGUGCUUUGCCUGGGGUCCAUAGAAAAGAGAUCCUGAGACCAAGCAAAGAAGGAUAGGAAGGGGGAGGGAGUGGAAUGGACUAGGAGUUUGGGUUGGUGCAAACUAUAGCAUUUGAAGUGGAUAAACAAUGAGAUCCUGCUGUAUAGCACAGGGAACUAUAUCUAGUCACUUAUGAUGGAACAAGAUGGAGGAUAAUGUGAGAAAAAAAUGUAUAUAUGAGUAUUACUGGGUCCACUUUUCUGUACAGCAGAAAUUGACAGAACAUUGUAAAUAAAUUAUAAUAAUAAAAAUAAAAUUAAAGAAAGAAGCAAAGGCAAAAAAAAAAAUUUUUCUCUUGACCCCAACCAAUCUCCCAUUUACCCCUGCUCAAAGUUCACUGCUCAGGGAGUUAACCUUUUCAAACUUCUGUGUGCGUCCUUGGCUCUUUUUUCAGCCAAUAGGGAAGCCAGACUCCAUUGGCGUUAUUCGUGGGUGCGCUUUAUCCAAGAUUGGCAGUGAUGAGAGGAGCCAGAGACUAGCUGGUUGGCCCCUCAAAGUCCUUCACCAGUCUGGUAGCUGAGACUGAAUUGGGACAGGAGGAGCUGAGAGAAUUUGGGGGACACAUAAGACAUGAACAUUUAAAUAGGCAUAAAAACGGGAAGUAGUAUUGUGGCUCAGUGGGGGAACUCAACUAGUAUCCAUGAGGAUGUGGGUUUGAACCUGGCCUUACUCAGUGGGUUAAGGAUCUGGCAUUGCCACAAGCUGCAGCCUUAAGUCACAAAAGCGACUUGAUCUGGUAUUGCUGUGGUUGUGGCACAGGCCUUAGCUGCAGCUCUGAUUCAGUCCCCAGCCUGGGAACUUCCAUAUGCUGCAGAUACAGCCGUAAAAAGAAAAGAAGAAGAAAAAAACAAAAACCCAGACAUAACCAAAUGGAAAUGGAUUGACACAUAAACAAUAUAACGGUAAUUUUUUAAAAAAGAAAGUUAUUGUGUAUGCAGUUCAAUACUGUUUUUAUAAUUCUCCACACACAUAUAUGGAGAAAGAAAGAAGAGAAUACCAAAAAGAGAUAACAACAGAUACUCAUUAAGCAAUUAUCUUUAGAAAACGGGUUCACAACUAAACUUUGGAGAUUUUUUUUCUUCCAUUGGGAUUUUCUGUGCUUUUCAUGGCUUCUAUGUUGAACAUGAAUUGCUUUUCGUUAUGAAAAUAAAUCAUAGAUGUAAGCAGAGGUUUAUCUGUAGAGUGGUUCAAUGUGCAAUGUUAGCUAUAAUAAUAAGAAAAUAAAAUGCUGAUUAUAAAAUAAAAUAAAAUCUACAAAUUCAACAGUUUUUUAUACUAUAUCAGUGAGAACAUUUCCUGCUAUUUUAAUACCCUUAGCCUAUAUAAUUAUUUUACAUUAUUCAAUGACAUGAAAAGUAUUUAUAUGUUGUUUAAUGCAAAAAAGCAAGUUACAAAACAAUAAGUUUGUCAUACUCAUAUAUUUAAAAAUAUAUGUUUGACUCUACAAAAAAUAAAUGUUGGGGAGCCAUCCCCAGAUAGGAAAAUAAAAUAUCAUAAAAUUGUAAAUUAUUCUCAAAUUACAUAUAGUUAAUGCAAUUUCAUUCAGAAUCUCAUUUUUUUUUAAGCCGGAAAACACCCUUUUAAAGUUCAUAUGAAAGAUUAAAUGUGCAAAGUAGAAUAUGUUAAUUCUCCUAAAAUCAAAAUAGUAUAAUGGUUAGAGAAGAAUAGAAUAAAUCAUUGAAAUAGAGAAGGGAGUCUGGGAAUAGAUCUAAACAGGAUGAGGCCUUGAUAUAUGACACAGAUGCCUUUCAAAUUCAGUCCCAACUGGUAGCUGACAAAUAAGUGGUCCUGGCACAGUUGGCUGUUUAUUUAGAAGAGCAGUGUUGGAUUUCUACCUCGUAGCUUAUUUCAAAUAUAUUCCAGAUUGAUUAAAGAACCAAGUAUAAAAAUCAAACAGUAAAAAUAUUCAACACUUUCGGAAAAUGUUUUUAUAAACUUUGAGUGGGAGAGAGAUUCUGAAAGAGUUGGGAAACCCAGAACUACACGGAAAAGGAUCAGCAGAUGUGAUUACACAUUAAUAAGAUUUUUCCGAUUGGAAAAUAACAAAUAAAUCAUUGAACUCGUUUAUAGGCUGGAGAAAAUAUUUGCAAUAUUUAUAAUAGACAUGGAGUUAAUACUUCUAACAUCCAGAUAAUUCCUACAAAUAUCUAAGGAAAAAUAAGGAAAAUAAUAUGAACAAACAGUUCAUGAAAAAGAAAAUGAAAAAUGCCAAGUAAGCAUACGAAAAACACUCUUAUGUUUAGACCUGUUGCAAACCAGAACCAUACAACAAGAAGCGACUUUUAAACUAUCAAAAUAGAGAAAUUAAAAGGAUAGAUGGGAUUGAAGAGUGGCAAUGCUGUAAGGCAACAGAUGGUGUUACACAUUGCUAGUGGUAUUUCCACUGUGGGGAACAUAUCCUUAGGAAAACUAGUAAAGGUAAGAAUGUAUCUAAAAGAUAUUUUGCUACAGCAUUGUUUGAAGGGGCAAAAAACUCAAACCAAACCAACCCAAACCAACACCAAACAAGCCCUACUGACAACCUGAAAUGCAUUAGUAAGAGAAUUUAAAAGAGAGGUUACAAGGGAAUUCCCACCGUGGCUCAGUGGGAACAAAUCUGACUACUAUCCAUGGGGAUGCAGGUUCGAUCCUUGGCCUCGCUCAGUGGGUUAUGGAUCAUUCGUUGCCAUGAGCUGUGGUAUAGAUCACAGACGCAGCUAGGAUCCUGCAUUGCUCUGGCUCUGGCUUAGGCAGGCAGCUAUAACUGCAGUUCAACCCCUCACCUGGGAACUUCCAUAUGAUGUGGGUGCAGC
rnacentral:lncRNA from 1 species